UACGAAGGGGGCUAGCGUUGUUCGGAAUUACUGGGCGUAAAGGGCGCGUAGGCGGCCUGUUAAGUCGAACGUGAAAUCCCCGGGCUCAACCCGGGAACUGCGUCCGAUACUGGCAGGCUCGAAUCCGGGAGAGGGAUGCGGAAUUCCAGGUGUAGCGGUGAAAUGCGUAGAUAUCUGGAGGAACACCGGUGGCGAAGGCGGCAUCCUGGACCGGCAUUGACGCUGAGGCGCGAAAGCCAGGGGAGCAAAGCGGG
rnacentral:rRNA from 1 species